rnacentral:rRNA from 1 species
GAUGAACGCUGGCGGUAUGCUUAACACAUGCAAGUCGAACGGACUCUUCGGAGUUAGUGGCGGACGGGUGAGUAACGCGUGAGAAUCUGGCUUUGGGUUCGGGACAACCACUGGAAACGGUGGCUAAUACCGGAUGUGCCGAGAGGUAAAAGAGAAAUUGCCUGAAGAUGAGCUCGCGUCUGAUUAGCUAGUUGGUGAGGUAAAGGCUCACCAAGGCAGCGAUCAGUAGCUGGUCUGAGAGGAUGACCAGCCACACUGGGACUGAGACACGGCCCAGACUCCUACGGGAGGCAGCAGGGGGGAAUUUUCCGCAAUGGGCGAAAGCCUGACGGAGAAAUACCGCGUGAGGGAAGAAGGCUCUGGGGUUGUAAACCUCUUUUCUUAGGGAAGAACAAAAUGACGGUACCUAAGGAAUCAGCAUCGGCUAACUCCGUG